ensembl:snRNA U6 U6 spliceosomal RNA
GUGCCCAUUUGGCAGCACAUAUACUAGAACCAGAACGCUCCAGAAAAGAUAAGCAUGGCCUCCCUGCAAGGAUAAUGGGCACAUUCAUGAGUGUUUCAUAUGGAA